rnacentral:rRNA from 1 species
ACCUCCCACCCGUGUUUAUUUUACCUUGUUGCUUCGGCGGGCCCGCCUUAACUGGCCGCCGGGGGGCUCACGCCCCCGGGCCCGCGCCCGCCGAAGACACCCUCGAACUCUGUCUGAAGAUUGUAGUCUGAGUGAAAAUAUAAAUUAUUUAAAACUUUCAACAACGGAUCUCUUGGUUCCGGCAUCGAUGAAGAACGCAGCGAAAUGCGAUACGUAAUGUGAAUUGCAAAUUCAGUGAAUCAUCGAGUCUUUGAACGCACAUUGCGCCCCCUGGUAUUCCGGGGGGCAUGCCUGUCCGAGCGUCAUUGCUGCCCUCAAGCACGGCUUGUGUGUUGGGCCCCGUCCUCCGAUCCCGGGGGACGGGCCCGAAAGGCAGCGGCGGCACCGCGUCCGGUCCUCGAGCGUAUGGGGCUUUGUCACCCGCUCUGUAGGCCCGGCCGGCGCUUGCCGAUCAACCCAAAUUUUUAUCCAGGUUGACCUCGGAUCAGGUAGGGAUACCCGCUGAACUUAAGCAUAUCAAUAA